AUUGAACGCUGGCGGCAGGCCUAACACAUGCAAGUCGAGCGGAUGAGAGGAGCUUGCUCCUUGAUUUAGCGGCGGACGGGUGAGUAAUGCCUAGGAAUCUGCCUAGUGGUGGGGGAUAACGUUCCGAAAGGAACGCUAAUACCGCAUACGUCCUACGGGAGAAAGCGGGGGAUCUUCGGACCUCGCGCCAUUAGAUGAGCCUAGGUCGGAUUAGCUAGUUGGUGAGGUAACGGCUCACCAAGGCGACGAUCCGUAACUGGUCUGAGAGGAUGAUCAGUCACACUGGAACUGAGACACGGUCCAGACUCCUACGGGAGGCAGCAGUGGGGAAUAUUGGACAAUGGGCGAAAGCCUGAUCCAGCCAUGCCGCGUGUGUGAAGAAGGUCUUCGGAUUGUAAAGCACUUUAAGUUGGGAGGAAGGGUAUUCACCUAAUACGUGAGUAUUUUGACGUUACCGACAGAAUAAGCACCGGCUAACUUCGUGCCAGCAGCCGAC
rnacentral:rRNA from 1 species